rnacentral:rRNA from 1 species
GGAAUAAGUGACCCGGCCUCGGGCCGGGAUGUUCACAACCCUUUGUUGUCCGACUCUGUUGCCUCCGGGGCGACCCUGCCUCCGGGCGGGGGCCCCGGGUGGACAUCUCAAACUCUUGCGUAACUUUGCAGUCUGAGUAAAUUUAAUUAAUAAAUUAAAACUUUCAACAACGGAUCUCUUGGUUCUGGCAUCGAUGAAGAACGCAGCGAAAUGCGAUAAGUAAUGUGAAUUGCAGAAUUCAGUGAAUCAUCGAAUCUUUGAACGCACAUUGCGCCCCCUGGUAUUCCGGGGGGCAUGCCUGUUCGAGCGUCAUUUCACCACUCAAGCCUCGCUUGGUAUUGGGCGACGCGGUCCGCCGCGCGCCUCAAAUCGACCGGCUGGGUCUUUCGUCCCCUCAGCGUUGUGGAAACUAUUCGCUAAAGGGUGCCGCGGGAGGCCACGCCGUAAAACAACCCCAUUUCUAAGGUUGACCUCGGAUCAGGUAGGGAUACCCGCUGAACUUAAGCAUAUCAAUAAGCGGAGGA